rnacentral:rRNA from 1 species
GACGAACGCUGGUGGCGUGCCUAACACAUGCAAGUCGAGCGAAGUGAGUACUACGGUACGAACUUAGCGGCGGACGGGUGAGUAACGCGUGGACAAUCUACCCUGUAGACUGGGAUAACACCUCGAAAGGGGUGCUAAUACCGGAUAAUGUCGAGAAGCGGCAUCGCUUUUCGAAGAAAGGAGAGAAUCCGCUAUAGGAGGAGUCCGCGUCCCAUUAGCUAGUUGGUGAGGGUAACGGCCCACCAAGGCGACGAUGGGUAGCCGGCCUGAGAGGGUGAACGGCCACACUGGAACGGGGACACGGUCCAGACUCCUACGGGAGGCAGCAGUGGGGAAUAUUGUGCAAUGGGGGAAACCCUGACACAGCAACGCCGCGUGAGCGAAGAAGGCCUUCGGGUUGUAAAGCUCAAUAGUAUGGGAAGAUAAUGACGGUACCAUACGAAAGCCCCGGCUAACUACGUGCCAGCCGCCGCAGUAAAAC